rnacentral:rRNA from 1 species
GAUGAACGCUGGCGGCGUGCUUAACACAUGCAAGUCGAACGGAAAGGCUCCUGCUUGCAUGGGUACUCGAGUAGCGAACGGGUGAGUAACAAGUGGGUGGUCUGCCCUGCACUGCGGGAUAAGCGUGAGAAACUGGGUCUAAUGACGGAUAGGACGAUGGUUUGGAUGCCAUUGUGGAAAGUCGUUCGGUGUGGGAUGAGCUCGCGCCCUAUAGGCUUGUUGGUGGGGUAAUGGCCUACAAAGGCGUCGACGGGUAGCCGGCCUGGGAGGGUGUACGGCACCAUUGGGACUAGAAUCCGGCCAGGACCCCUACGGGGGGCAGAGGUGGGGAAAAUUGAACAAUGGGGGCAAGCAUAAUCCAGAGACGCCGGGUGGGGGAUGACGGCCUUCGGUUUGUAACCUCUUUUAGCUAGGGACGAAGUGCAAGUGACGGUACCUGGAGAAGAAGCACCGGCUAACUACGUG